rnacentral:lncRNA from 1 species
AUAAAUAAGAAAAGAAAAAAGAUAAACCAAUAAAUAAAGCCCCAAAGCCGAAAUAGAAGCGAGUGUUUCUCCUUUCUCUCUCCUCACUCUUUCUCUCUCAUAAACACACACACACUCCCACAAAUACACACACUCCCACACACACACACACACACACACACACACACACAAAACUCUUGCUCUAACUCUGAAAUAGAGGAAGCAGAAACUGAGCAGAGAAGUUUUAAUGCUGUUCACACACAAGCCCUGAACUUGUUUACUUCUCUCUCUCUCUCAUCUCUCUCUCUGUAUCUCUCUGUGUGAGUUUUAUGAGGGAGUGUUAUCUUCUUUAAGAAGACAUCCUUGGCUCAGAUCUGUUGCUUUUUAACUUCAAAAUCUCUUACAUUGUUUCUCCUUUCCUUUGUCUCUCUUGUGUUUUUCCGGUGGUCUG